UACGUAGGGUGCAAGCGUUGUCCGGAAUUAUUGGGCGUAAAGAGCUCGUAGGCGGUCUGUUGCGUCGGCUGUGAAAACCCGGGGCUCAACUCCGGGCCUGCAGCCGAUACGGGCAGACUAGAGUUCGGCAGGGGAGACUGGAAUUCCUGGUGUAGCGGUGAAAUGCGCAGAUAUCAGGAGGAACACCGGUGGCGAAGGCGGGUCUCUGGGCCGAUACUGACGCUGAGGAGCGAAAGCGUGGGGGAGCGAAACAGG
rnacentral:rRNA from 1 species